rnacentral:rRNA from 1 species
UACGUAGGGUGCAAGCGUUAAUCGGAAUUACUGGGCGUAAAGCGUGCGCAGGCGGCUUUGCAAGACAGAUGUGAAAUCCCCAGGCUUAACCUGGGAACUGCAUUUGUGACUGUAGAGCUGGAGUGCGGCAGAGGGGGAUGGAAUUCCGCGUGUAGCAGUGAAAUGCGUAGAUAUGCGGAGGAACACCGAUGGCGAAGGCAAUCCCCUGGGCCUGCACUGACGCUCAUGCACGAAAGCGUGGGGAGCAAACAGG